rnacentral:rRNA from 1 species
CUCGUAGGCGGCCAACUAAGUCAUACGUGAAAUCCCUCGGCUUAACCGGGGGAACUGCGUCUGAUACUGGAUGGCUUGAGUUCGGGAGAGGGAUGCGGAAUUCCAGGUGUAGCGGUGAAAUGCGUAGAUAUCUGGAGGAACACCGGUGGCGAAGGCGGCAUCCUGGACCGAUACUGACGCUGAGGAGCGAAAGCCAGGGGAGCAAACG